CGGGCUGCUCUCAGUUCCCUGAGAAAAAGGGAAGGAAGAGAAGUCAGAACUUGCCAUACUCAAUCCUCACCAGCUGCAGAGAAGUCAGUGUUUUUCAAAGCUAGCACCAAGCACCAUCCCCCAGUUUACCCAGACUCCAGGAGUAGGAGGAAGAAGGAUACCUGCCAACCUACCACCGCACAGAUUACUGACAGGCAGCAUGAGGGGAGAGGGACCAGCCAAGGAAAGAGCUGUACUUACUUGGUUUGAUGUCCAUGUGUGCCAGGCCAGAGCUGUGUAUGUACUUUAGCCCCAUGGAGACUUGCAGCAGGAUCUCCUUUAACUCUGCUUCUUGGAAAUAGCACCCAGUCUUAGCAUUUUCCAACAGCGCAUCCUGAAGGCUCCCACCUAAGUGAAAUAUUCAAGUUUUGAUGCAGGUAUUUUUCCCAGUGAGGUGAGAUGCUUGAACUCAUUUUCAGCUGGACUCUGGAUACCCAUUAACGCCAAGUACUAAAGAACUACACAAGGGGUGGCAAACCUUGGUCAGAAUAGCCAUACAAAAAGUUUAGGAAAGAGACUUGUGCACUGUACCACCCAUCUGGCAUUACACUUGCCAUUGCCUAGGUGGUGGACAUGGUGGUUUCUGCAGCUCUUUAGACCUACUUUCUAUUUGCCAGAAAGGAACCUAAGGCUAUUAAGAGUGGCAGGUCAGAGAGCAAGCAAGUCUAAGAUACAGAAAUCAGUGAUUUAAAGAAACGUAGGUGGCAAGACUCUCAUAACAGUUGUAUUAUUGCUCUUCAUUUAGAUACACUCAAUGCAUCAGGUAUUGCACAAAAUGUUAUCUUAUGCCUAAUCUUUAACCCUAUGCGUGCUGUACCACGACUCUAGUCAUGGGUGUCUUUGUAAAUGGUGAAAGUUGUGCUGAGUUACAGUGGUGACUAUCAAGAGUCAUUUGUUAUUAAUUUUAAACUCGGGACUCCAAAGCAAAAAACAAAAGCACUGCACCACUGUAAUCCCAGCCCUCAUGAGCUAUUCAACUCAAGCAGAUGUUUGCAAUAGUGCUCCCAGGUGUCCAGAUAUGGACUUGCUGAUCACCCACUAACUCCUGCCAACUGGAAUGGGGUCAAGAGCAAGCUGUUUGGGAGUUCCCCUCACUGUGGUUCUGCCUCUGUGGCACUUAACUGUGUGAAUAGUGCAGUCAGAGGAAAAGAAUUUGCUUUCCAGGAGGGAAGAGCAUCUGUCGAUAGGACUCUGGUGUAAAUGGGUUAAUGUUGACCAGUGAAGCCUGGGCAGAAUCAUCUGGAUCAGCACCAGGAGUAAAUCUCAAGUGCCGGG